ACUCCUACGGGAGGCAGCAGUGGGGAAUAUUGGACAAUGGGCGAAAGCCUGAUCCAGCAAUGCCGCGUGAGUGAUGAAGGCCCUAGGGUUGUAAAGCUCUUUUACCAGGGAUGAUAAUGACAGUACCUGGAGAAUAAGCUCCGGCUAACUCCGUGCCAGCAGCCGCGGUAAU
rnacentral:rRNA from 1 species